CUAAAUGAUUACUCAUGAAUUUGUGGGACAAGAGGCAAAUUUAGUUGCAACUACACUGGUCACAAUCGAGAAAUUCUUGGUACAGCUGACGAUAAUGUAAUGUAAGGUGAUAAAUGAUAAUCCUUGUAUUUGUUGUGUUCUCUACUAUCUUUUUGCAGUGUCAAUGCAUGACAGGAUAUCACAACCAUUUUUAGCAGAUGAGCUAAAACUAUCAGGAGGAUUAAUAAUGAUUAGUGAUGCUGAGAAAUGUGUCAAUCAUUCUGGAUUUGUAAGGUAAUUAUGCCACACUUUUCUGCUUGUACUUCUUCUAGACAGGAAAAUCACAUUUUUUCCUCUUCUCCUCUGAGCAGUAAUUUCAAAUUCUAUUUUUAGUUUAUCGCAUCAAAUUCAUAAAACUAACUUUUGUAACGAAAAGUUUUUUCAAUUAUGCCUAUAUAAUCACUGGGAAAAAAAUGCAGUAUAAUGCUAAAUGAUCCUUUGUAGGUGACAAACGCGAGUUUUAGGACCACACAUGUAUACUUUCCGUGCAAUUCUUAGAUGAAAUUUGGCUGGAAAACUAUUUUUUACAUUUGACAGAACAAAAGUGGUGAAAUUUAUUGACAGGACAGCAAACUUUAUAUGUGUCACUUAGAUUGUUUCACCCCAAGUUCAAGAUCACAAGACUUGCAAACGACGUUUAUUUGCUUCUUUUUUCUUUUACAUGGGAAAAGAUAACAAAUUACUUUAAAUCUUUCAUUAGCAACGUGACUUGAAUCAAUCAAGAGAAAAAACUCCAUUUUCUUGAGUGGAGCUUUCCAAACGAUCAAACCCUCUUUAUUUCUAUGACCUUCAUUUGCCAGAAAAUGGUCACAUUUAUUCUUCUUCCGCAAGAUGUAUGUAAUAGUAGCCUUCAUGGUUUCCAGCAAAUUUUUAUGAUCUUCAAUAAUAGCCCUAACAAGUGAUACUAUCUGUCCUCUUUGAUAAGCUUGACAACAAGUAGGCAGUUUGUUUCCGCCUUUAAUUCUUUAUACCCAAUUCUUUUUGUUAGUUUUGACCCUUGUUUGAUGCUCCAUAGCUCUAUAGUGAGGCUUGAAGUUGGAUUCGUCUUACCUGAAACCCGAUAUCUACUUCCCUUUGUCUCAAAAAUUCCUUAAGUGCCGCAUGUGCCUUGUUUGAGUCUUGACAUUAGCAUUACAGGCAUUUUGAAAAUAAUGCAAUAUUUGUAUCAGGAAUUAUACUAAUUUUGGAAUGUGGUGGCAUGGUGCUAUGCACUCCUGAUUAAAGCCACUUCCUGUGGCUUUGCCUAGACAUCAUCAUCUCUCGUCAGGUUUAGCUAAAAAAUUAUUGGGAAAACAAAAUAAUAAAAGAAAAUUUAUGCGGAAGAAUUGAGCUGAUAUACCCAUAUCUUAUAGUAAUUCUGAAGUGGAUAUUCAAAUUCUUUUAAAAGAUAACAUAAUAUGCAAUUAAGAUCUUUGAGAAGGACAUAAAUUGCAGUUACAUAAAUUGCCUAUGUGUAAUGUGAGAGCACCCCCUGGACUUAAAACUAUAGUAAAACAUCUGAUGUUUUAGUAUGUUGCGUUUUCUGGUUUUCUUUUCUUUAUGCUUUCAGCUGUCUGUAAAUGAGGAGAACAAUUGGAUAGCUCACGAAAAUUAACAUCUUAUGAAGUUUCACUUGAGCAUACAUAACAAAAUAUAACAAGCAUGCUGGUAUUGCAUGCAACUGAUUAGCUCAUAUACACAGAGAAAACAGAGAAGAAGAAAAAGGAGCCAGGAUAGACCAUUCCCCGGAACAUGUGGGGAAGAAGAGAAGUGGCACCAGAUGGAACAACAUUAACGGAGGAAGAAUCCGAGGAAGGAUCAUCCUUCUGUGGCUUUGAUGGCUCUGGAGCAGGUGCUGGUGGUAAUGGUGGGACAAAGAAUUUCAAAGGAAGCAGUACUUUAUCCACUUGGUAAAUAGCUAAUUGAUUGUCAGUGUAAAUUGUACUGGUCAGACUUGCAUUCACAAUUCCGGUUGUUAUGUUCACUGCUGUCCCAUUUGUGGUUAUGUUGAUGGGGAAUUCACGAUUAGUGGUUCCUCCAGCUUGUGUUGGUACAGGGUUGCUAGCCGUUUGGAACUGCGACAGGGAGAAAUAUGAGGGGAGGAUAUGGAAUUUAACCAAGUCAGCUUUCCGCUGAUCGCUGAAAGAGUUGAGGGUGCCAGUUUUCAG
rnacentral:lncRNA from 1 species